rnacentral:rRNA from 1 species
GACGAACGCUGGCGGCGUGCCUAAUACAUGCAAGUCGAACGCUUUUUCUUUCACCGGAGCUUGCUCCACCGAAAGAAAAGGAGUGGCGAACGGGUGAGUAACACGUGGGUAACCUACCCUCCAGCGGGGGAUAACACUUGGAAACAGGUGCUAAUACCGCAUAACAGAGAAAACCGCCUGGUUUUCUUUUGAAAGGCGCAAUUGCGUCACUGGAGGAUGGACCCGCGGUGCAUUAGCUAGUUGGUGAGGUAACGGCUCACCAAGGCAACGAUGCAUAGCCGACCUGAGAGGAUAAACGGCCACACUGGGACUGAGAUACGGCCCAGACUCCUACGGGAGGCAGCAGUAGGGAAUUUUCCACAAUGGACGGAAGUCUGAUGGAGCAACGCCGCGUGUGCGAAGAAGGUUUUCGGAUUGUAAAGCACUGUUGUAUAGGAAGAAUAAGGUAAACAGGGAAUGGUUUACUGAUGACGGUACUAUACGAGGAAGUCACGGCUAACUACGUGCCAGCCGCCGCAGUAAGAC